rnacentral:rRNA from 1 species
GAUGAACGCUGGCGGCGUGCCUAAUACAUGCAAGUCGAACGAAACUUCUUUAUCACCGAGUGCUUGCACUCACCGAUAAAGAGUUGAGUGGCGAACGGGUGAGUAACACGUGGGCAACCUGCCCAAAAGAGGGGGAUAACACUUGGAAACAGGUGCUAAUACCGCAUAACCAUAGUUACCGCAUGGUAACUAUGUAAAAGGUGGCUAUACUACCGCUUUUGGAUGGGCCUGCGGCGCAUUAGCUAGUUGGUAGGGUAAAGGCUUACCAAGGCAAUGAUGCGUAGCCGAAUUGAGAGGUUGAUCGGCCACAUUGGGACUGAGACACGGCCCAAACUCCUACGGGAGGCAGCAGUAGGGAAUCUUCCACAAUGGGCGAAAGCCUGAUGGAGCAACGCCGCGUGGGUGAAGAAGGUCUUCGGAUCGUAAAACCCUGUUGUUAGAGAAGAAAGUGCGUGAGAGUAACUGUUCACGUUUCGACGGUAUCUAACCAGAAAGCCACGGCUAACUACGUG